GUGUCAGCCGCCGCGGUAAUACGGAGGGGGCUAGCGUUGUUCGGAAUUACUGGGCGUAAAGCGCACGUAGGCGGCUUAUCAAGUCAGGGGUGAAAUCCCGGAGCUUAACUCCGGAACUGCCUUUGAGACUGAUAGGCUUGAGUUCGGGAGAGGUAAGUGGAAUACCUAGUGUAGAGGUGAAAUUCGUAGAUAUUAGGUGGAACACCAGUGGCGAAGGCGACUUACUGGACCGAUACUGACGCUGAGGUGCGAAAGCGUGGGUAGCAAACAGGAUUAGAUACCCUGGUAGUCCACGCUGUAAACGAUGGGUGCUAGAUGUUGGGGGCCUUUGGCUUCCGGUGUCGCAGCUAACGCGUUAAGCACCCCGCCUGGGGAGUACGGCCGCAAGGUUAGAACUUAAAGGAAUUGACGGGG
rnacentral:rRNA from 1 species